AUGGAUGUUGGGUCUCCCUUCCGGCCGUGGCCCACGUACGACCCCUUUUCCCUUCAAGUCAGGACCUCGGGGAACUUUCACAAGAUGGGUCCUCGGAGCCUGGCUGCGAUUGCCCUCCCAAGGGGUGCUGCUGCGGAGGAUAGGCGCGCUGGUCAAGACCAAAGCGAACGGGAUGACGCCACCGGAGGGCGCGCGGGGCCGCGGGGUAGGGCGGUUCUGCUGCUGCAGGCUUCAGGCCUCUUCUGCCUUCUACAGCGGCCAGGUCAGCAGAGGCGGAGGCCCGGCUGUGGAUGGCCUAGGAGCCGAAGUCGUGAAGCCACGUUCCUCCUACUGCUCUUAACCCAGGCGCGGCGACUUGCCGACCAGCUCCCCUCACUCCGAAACCCCAUGGCAACAAAGGGCCUUGUGCUCACUCUAGCAGAGCGUCCUGCCUUUGUCUCUGAUCCAGCCUGGUGCGUCAGUCUCUGCAAACAAAAGAUGUGGUCACCCGGCCACUUAUCCCUGCCCCCACCAAAGCAGUAAUGAAGGCUGAGGCCUCUCCAAUUGAGCUGAGCCAGGAAAGCAGCAGACAGGUACAGAUCAGCAGGCCAGGAGCAGGGCUCACAAAAGAGAGGUCAUGCUUAAUAAACCUGAUUAAUUUCUUGGAGCGGCAACAAUGCAAGUGGACAGAGGUGAAAUGAGGGACAGUAACUCAUCCUGAUUCUGAGGCACAGAAGCACAGCUAAAAUCAACAGAGAGAUUUUGUGGAGAUGCUGCUGGGGC
rnacentral:lncRNA from 1 species